AACUGGUUGGCUCUGUAACGACACGUGUGAGUUCGACUCGGACUCAAUGAUGAACCUUGAUCCCUUCUGGCAGCCCUUUCCAGGCUCAAGGACAGUGAUACUGCCGAGGCAAAGACAUGGGAAGCCAGGACUGGAGCUGGCCCGGGGCCAAGAUUUGCAAGUUGCUGGUGUUCAGUUGGAGUCCUUGGAAUAUUUGUGUUUUGGCCCAGUUCAAAAGUCCAUGGUUCUACCAGUGAGAAUGUGCAUAUGGCCCAUCUCCUAAUGGCCUCCUGGAUCCAUUUUAAA